rnacentral:rRNA from 1 species
UGGGGAAUUUUGGACAAUGGGCGAAAGCCUGAUCCAGCAAUGCCGCGUGUGUGAAGAAGGCCAUUCGGGUUGUAAAGCACUUUUGUCCGGAAAGAAAUCCUUGGCUCUAAUACAGUCGGGGGAUGACGGUACCGGAAGAAUAAGCACCGGCUAACUACGUGCCAGCAGCCGCGGUAAUACGUAGGGUGCAAGCGUUAAUCGGAAUUACUGGGCGUAAAGCGUGCGCAGGCGGUUUGCUAAGACCGAUGUGAAAUCCCCGGGCUCAACCUGGGAACUGCAUUGGUGACUGGCAGGCUAGAGUAUGGCAGAGGGGGGUAGAAUUCCACGUGUAGCAGUGAAAUGCGUAGAGAUGUGGAGGAAUACCGAUGGCGAAGGCAGCCCCCUGGGCCAAUACUGACGCUCAUGCACGAAAGCGUGGGGAGCAAACAGGAUUAGAUACCCUGGUAGUCCACGCCCUAAACGAUGUCAACUAGUUGUUGGGGAUUCAUUUCCUUAGUAACGUAGCUAACGCGUGAAGUUGACCGCCUGGGGAGUACGGUCGCAAGAUUAAAACUCAAAU